GGGGAAUAUUGGACAAUGGGCGAAAGCCUGAUCCAGCCACGCCGCGUGGGUGAUGAAGGCCUUCGGGUCGUAAAGCCCUGUGGGGGGGGACGAAAAGCUGCGAGCUAAUAUCUCGCAGUUUUGACGGUACCCCCUUAGCAAGCACCGGCUAACUCCGUGCCAGCAGCCGCGGUAAUACGGAGGGUGCAAACGUUGCUCGGAAUCAUUGGGCGUAAAGCGCGUGUAGGCGGCCGGGUCAGUCGGGCGUGAAAGCCCUGGGCUUAACCCAGGAAGUGCGCCCGAUACUGCCUGGCUAGAGUACGGGAGAGGGUAGUGGAAUUCCCGGUGUAGAGGUGAAAUUCGUAGAUAUCGGGAGGAACACCAGUGGCGAAGGCGGCUACCUGGACCGAUACUGACGCUGAGACGCGAAAGCGUGGGGAGCAAAC
rnacentral:rRNA from 1 species